UUGGUUCCUGCCUUGUGAUCUGGAGUGUAAGCCGCCUCCCAGCGCUCGAUUUUUAACUUCAUCAGUUCUCCUCGCUUCCCAGCUAUCCUUUCUCUUCACCUUGUAAGAGAAUUUCUGCCGCUUUUUGUUCGUUGAUCUGCCAUUAUUCACAGGGCAGUUUUUCAUAACCGAUCCGUGAUUCCAGACACCUUGUUUAUGGAGGAAAGAAGAGGACCUGCAUGGGCACCUACUGAAUAUUUAACUAUGUCCAACAUGGUGAAAUUUUGUCUGUAUUAGGGCCUCAGCCAUUAGAAGCUGGGAAACCUUUUCUGCCUACUUAGCUGUUUGGUAAAUCAGUUUUUUUCACAGGUAAUGCCUAGAUUUGAGGACCUUCAGCAUGGUUCUUUUUUUUUUGAAGUUCAGGUUUCCCCCCCCCAGACCGUAUUAUAUGACCCACUUUU
ensembl:processed_transcript